GAUGGAGUCUUGCUGUGUUGCCCAGGCUGAUCUCGAACUCCUUACCUCAAGGGAUCCUUCUGUGUAGCUGGGAUUACAAGUGCAAGACACAGCGUUAAGCUUGACACAUCUAUUCUAAAAAUAAAGCUUAUUGUGAAGAAUAAUGGGCAAGAUUAGCUAAGAAAAUUUAGAAAAGCACUGGUGUCCUAGUAAGAAGAGGAAGAGACACCAGAGAGAGCGCUCAUUCAGCAAGCACACCAGGAAAGACCAUGUGAAGACACGGUGAGAAGGUGGUUGUCUACAAGCCAGGAAGAGAGCCCUCAGCAGAAACCAACUCUCCUGGCACCUUCCUCUUGGACUUCGAGCCUCCAGAACUGUGAGGAAAUAAAUGUCUGUUGUUUAAGCCACCGUCUACGGUAUUUUAUGACAAUGCAAGCUAACU
rnacentral:lncRNA from 1 species